CCGGAUAUAUCACCAUACCUAGCUUCCAUCUUUUUGCCACGUAUUGCCGGCCCCCAUACGUACUCAACCCUAUAAAUCAAACCCUUACAUUUCAGAGUUGAAUCGUUUAAGAAAAAAUGCCAGACCAUCCACCACCACCACACGGCGGCCACGGUCACGCACCACCCCCAGGUCCGGGACACCACGAGCCUCCUCCGCCCCAUGGCCAUGCUCCUCCUCCGGGGCCUCAUGCACCUCCUCCGGGACCCCAUGCACCUCCUCCGGGACCCCAUGCACCUCCUCCGGAACCCCAUGCACCUCCUCCGGGACCCCAUGCACCUCCUCAUGAUCCACACAAGCCACAUGACUGUCACCACGGUCACCACCACCCAUGAACCGAACUAGUCAUGAGGCCACGAUCGAGAAGCUAGUCUCAGCAAGUUGUUAUCUAUUUAUCUUUGUGCCUGUAAUGUGAUCUAGCUGCGGUUGUAGUUCUGAGUUGCUGGGUUUACUGGCUUUGCUCCAUUGAUCUCAUCGUUAUGUAAUGACUAAAAUAUGAGGACUAUGUAUGUAUCCAAAAGAAGGCUGAUCAUAUAUGUAUAAUAAGAAGAGUACUGGCUUUGUGGUUUAUGUAUAAUCCGCUUGUGUAAAACUUCUUCUUUUAUCCGUCUAAAUGUGAUGUAUAAUCAGAAAAUAUGGCCAGUUUGUCAUCUUGACCAACCUGAACUUACAAACUAAUUAAUUAAGUCAAUCUCCCCAAUUUCAUCAAUCUUCAUUAGGAUUUCAUCACUAGCUCAUUCCUUCACAGAUAAUUAACCAUUUGCUCGAUUGCUCUUAACAAACUGUAAUAGCCAAGAGGCAAACGCAUCCAUCUAAAUUCUAAAAAGUUAUUAACACAGGCUAGGGGUAAAUUAUCCUUUGUUCAGACCAAUCUCACAGUUGAAGCGAUGAAUUGGCUAAAACAAAAGCCUACGGGCAGAAAAACAAAGCAUCUCUAUUCGUACGGAAGAAUGACUUCCAUAUAUAGUAAGCCUUAUAGUUAUAACACCGUAAGUGUAUAAGAAUAGGAAUUCAUAAACGCAAUAAGAAGAAGACCGUGAAAGAGAUCGAAGAUUAAAGCAGGCCUUAAUGUCUUGUAUAUUCUGUACAAAAUUUCAACAGCCAGAUUUUCUCGAUGCAUUCGUCAGCUUCUGUUUGUAACCUUUCUUCUGUCAAAUCCUCCAUGGCUUUUCACGAGCAAUAAUUCUUGCAAGGUCCCAUUAACAAGCCUCACGUACGUUGUUCUUAUCUCCUUUUCCUUAGCUCACCAAGAAUUCAACUAUUACCAAGUGCAGCAACUAGUUUCUGUGAUCGAUCUACGGAAAGUUAAAGUUAUUGCUCAAAAGAGAAAGAGAAAACGGAAGUUAAAGUUCCAUGCUGCCCUAGUUCAAGUACGCACUCAGUUAUGAUCUUGUGGUUCUUACAAUGGAUGAAUGGAUGAAGCAUUACCACACAAAUACUCAGAAGAGAAAAACAAAACAACCACAGUGCACGAUUAACAUGCUAGCUAGCUUUCAUUGUGUGCAAAUAUCCUGAGCUACCAUUCCACCAAAACAAGCUAAAUAAGUUUAUCCUUGUAUGGAUAUUAUGUGAAUCGAAAUAAUUGUAUAUUUGAUUCUUAGAUAUUAUGUGGCACCUAUUACAACGAAGCAUGUGCCAUAUUCUGAAGAUAAUGUCGACACAUCUGAAUCAUCUAGAGCCCGUACCGACACCUUUCUCCUAUAAAAUCAACUCCUACUAGCUUAAACUCUUCAACAGUUCGCCACAUCAAGAACAACUUUCUUUUUGUUUAUACAAGCUAGUAGUCUCACCAAGAAUUCGAAGAUGCAUCACGGUGAUCAUCACGGCGGACCACCACACCACGGAGGAGGUCCGGGAGGAGGUCCGGGAGGUCCAGGAGGCGGCCCUCAACAUGGUCAUGGUCAUCAAGGAGCUCCGGGAGGAGGGCAUGGAGGACCAGGAGGAGGAGGGCAUGGAGGGCAAGGAGGAGGAGGACACGGAGGACCAGGAGGAGGAGGACAUGGAGGAGGAGGAGGAGGAGGACGAGGGGGGAGGAGGAGGACAUGGAGGAGGAGGAGGAGGAGGACGAGGGAGGAGGAGGAGGAGGACAUGGAGGAGGAGGAGGACGACGGAGGGCAUGGUGGUCACUGAUCAUGGCGCUAGACUACGUAUACUACUUGUGGUGUACUAGCUGGCUGAAUAAGUCUCUCUAUGUGACUUCUGUAGUAUUGUUUGUGUGUUAUCAUUUCCUAGUUGGGUCGAUCAGAUCCUAGAUAGUGAAGCUAGCUAGGGGAGUCGAUCUUGUGUUUGGAGUCUGUUAAUUAAUGUAUGUGUAUGGAUGUGUAAUAAAACCAUACUAGCUAUGUAUUUGAUUCGAGGCUUAACAUAUAUUGCAUGCAGCUAUAUAUAUAUAUAUAUAUAUAAUAUCCUUAGAUGACUAAGAACAUAAGAAACAGAGCAGUACUAUUGAUGAUUUACAAGAUUCAAUUUGUAUAAGUGAUCUUUGGCUUGUCCUAAUUAACCAUCAAGCAAAGCGCUAAGAACGAACAUAUUAUAUAUACUGCCAGAUGAUCAAGCAACUUUGCAGAGGGAUCAUGACGAAAUGUCCAUCUAGCAGCUUAAAUGCUUAAUUAGAACAAUUUUGCAAAACAAACACAAACUUGUAUAAUACGGUACCGAAAAUAUAAGUAUAACCGUUUGAAAUGUCAAGUUUAUCAAUCUUAUGAAAUCGAAGUAUCGUAAAUCGAUAAUGAUCUUCUUCAAAACUAGAACGAGAAUGUAACGUGUCUAUAUGACACUAUAAAUGUCUACGAAAUCAUGCGUUAAGAACAUAAUAUUAUAUUCCUUCGUUUUUUACUAAAGAAUAUCAUUACCGUUAAGCUUUAAUUGACAUACGUACGAUUGUACUUUGUAGUGAUACAUCUAAUUAUAUUGGUCGUGUGGUGCCCUUAGUAUAUUAAAAGGAAAAAACUAAAGAGACCAAAAGGCCCAAAGGAAACCACAGAAAUUGUCAUAAAGGUACAAGUGCAGCCCAACUUUCNNNNNNNNNNNNNNNNNNNNNNNNNNNNNNNNNNNNNNNNNNNNNNNNNNNNNNNNNNNNNNNNNNNNNNNNNNNNNNNNNNNNNNNNNNNNNNNNNNNNNNNNNNNNNNNNNNNNNNNNNNNNNNNNNNNNNNNNNNNNNNNNNNNNNNNNNNNNNNNNNNNNNGUCCUGAUCAUCACCUUCCUUGCCUAUGCUUCCUUCCACGCCUCCAGGAAGCCCCCCAGCAUCGUCAAGAGUGUUCUUGGCCCCAAACUCCUGUCCAAUUCGAGCUCUUUCGACACCGGUUGGGCUCCCUUUAAUGGCCCUGAUGGCACUCACAGGCUUGGAGAACUUGAUCUUGCAUUUCUAUCUGCAUAUUCUAUUGGAAUGUAUUUUGCAGGGCAUGUUGGUGAUAGGAUUGAUUUGAGGUUGUUUCUUGCUUAUGGGAUGUUAGGGAGUGGAGUUUUGACUUGUCUUUUCGGGUUAGGUUAUUGGUGCAAUGUGCAUAUGUUGUGGUACUUUGUGGGUGUGCAAGUUGUGUGUGGGUUGUUUCAGUCAAUAGGGUGGCCUUCUGUUGUGGCAGUUGUGGGGAAUUGGUUUAGGGUUUAGACAGCGGCCAUCACACGCCGGCCACGGUCACGCACCACCCCCAGGUCCGGGACACCACGAGCCUCCUCCGCCCCAUGGCCAUGCUCCUCCUCCGGGGCCUCAUGCACCUCCUUCGGGACCCCAUACACCUCCUCCGGAACCCCAUGCACCUCCUCCGGGACCCCAUGCACCUCCUCAUGAUCCACACAAGCCACAUGACCCGCACCACGGUCACCACCACCCAUGAACCGAACUAGUCAUGAGGGAUCACGAAGCUAGCUAGUCUCAGCAAGUUGUUAUCUAUUUCUGCCUGUAAUGUGAUCUAGCUGCGCUUGUAGUUCUGAGUUGCUGGGUUUACUGGCUUUGCUCCAUUGAUCUCAUCGUUAUGUAAUGACUAAAAUAUGAUGACUAUGUAUGUAUCCAAAAGAAGGCUGAUCAUAUAUGUAUAAUAAGAAGAGUACUGGCUUUCUGGUUUAUGUAUAAUCCGCUUGUGUAAAACUUCUUCUCUGUUAUCGGUCUAAAUGUGAUGUAUGAUCAGAAAAUAUGGUCAGUUUGUCCUCUUGACCAACCUUAACUUACAAACUAAUUAAGUCAAUCUCCCCAAUUUCAUCAAUCUUUAUUAGGAUUUCAUCACUCAUUCCUUCACAGAUAAUUAACCACACAUCCAAGCUGCAUUUGCUCGAUUGCUCUUAACAAACUGUAAUAAUUAACCAAGAGGCAAACGCAUCCAUCUAAAGUCUAAAAAUUAAGUUAUUAACACAAGGUUAAAUUAUCCAUUGUUCAGACCAAUCUCACAGUUAGAGCGAUGAAUUGGCUAAAACAAAAACCUACGGGAG
rnacentral:lncRNA from 1 species